rnacentral:rRNA from 1 species
GAACCCUGUAGAGAUACGGGGGUGCCUUCGGGAACUGUGAGACAGGUGCUGCAUGGCUGUCGUCAGCUCGUGUUGUGAAAUGUUGGGUUAAGUCCCGCAACGAGCGCAACCCUUAUCCUUUGUUGCCAGCGGUCCGGCCGGGAACUCAAAGGAGACUGCCAGUGAUAAACUGGAGGAAGGUGGGGAUGACGUCAAGUCAUCAUGGCCCUUACGACCAGGGCUACACACGUGCUACAAUGGCGCAUACAAAGAGAAGCGACCUCGCGAGAGCAAGCGGACCUCAUAAAGUGCGUCGUAGUCCGGAUUGGAGUCUGCAACUCGACUCCAUGAAGUCGGAAUCGCUAGUAAUCGUGGAUCAGAAUGCCACGGUGAAUACGUUCCCGGGCCUUGUACACACCG